rnacentral:rRNA from 1 species
CCCUUAGAUGUUCUGGGCCGCACGCGCGCUACACUGAUGCAUUCAACGAGUCCAACCUUGACCGAGAGGUCCGGGUAAUCUUUGAAACUGCAUCGUGAUGGGGCUAGAUUAUUGCAAUUAUUAAUCUUCAACGAGGAAUGCCUAGUAAGCGUGAUUCAUCAAAUCGCGUUGAUUACGUCCCUGCCCUUUGUACACACCGCCCGUCGCUCCUACCGAUUGAGUGUGUUGGUGAGGAGUUUGGAUUGGCCUCGGAAGGUGGUUCGCCACCGUCCGUAGCUGAGAAGUUCUCCAAACCGCCCCACUUAGCGGAAGGAGAAGUCGUAACA